ACACUGCCCAAAUCAAAUCAUAGUACAACAUCACUCUUGGAAAAGGGUUUGUCCACUGCCUGAAAACCCAAACUUACUAAUUAAACCACCAUCUCCAGCCAGGAGAUCUCAAGCUCUGAAGAUUUAAAGGACAAAGAUCCUCUUGCUCUCAGGUUCGAACAAUGGGAAUGGAGAAAUUCCUGGUAGGGAGAGGUUCCCCCUUUAUGGUUGUACGCAACUCGACUUUGGAUUGGCAGGGAAGUGAGUUCUGGAUAUCAGAUAGUUAAGGUUUUUCUUCUGUUUUUGUUUACCUA